UUAUUAUUAUUUUGAGGGAAAAUUGUACUUUUUGUCGCUAAGUUAUAGGGUAAUUGUAGAAUUCGUCCUUAAGUGUUGGUAAUACUCACUUUUCGUCUCUGAGUUCUUCUUGG